rnacentral:rRNA from 1 species
AUUGAUCGCUGGCGGUAGGCCUAUCACAUGCAAGUCGAACGAGUGGCGGACGGGUGAGUAAUGUCUGGGAAACUGCUUGAUGGAGGGGGAUAACUACUGGAAACGGUAGCUAAUACCGCCUACCAUCGGAUGUGCCCAGAUGGGAUUAGCUAGUAGGUGGGGUAACGGCUUAACUAGGCGACGAGCCCUAGCUGGUCUGAGAGGAUGACCGGCCAAACUGGAACUGAGACACAGGCCAGACUCAGACGGGAGGCAGCAGUGGGGAAAAUUGCACGAUGGGCGAAAGCCUGAUGCAGCCAUGCCGCGUGUAUGAAGAAGACAUUCGGGAUGUGAAGUACUUUCAGCGGGGAGGCGUUACCCGCAGAAGAAGCACCGGCUAACUCCAUGCCAGCAGCCGCGUAAUUC